rnacentral:rRNA from 1 species
UGCCAGCCGCCGCGGUAAUACGAAGGGGGCUAGCGUUGCUCGGAAUUACUGGGCGUAAAGGGCGCGUAGGCGGACAGUUAAGUUGGGGGUGAAAGCCCGGGGCUCAACCUCGGAAAUGCCUUCAAUACUGGCUGUCUUGAGUACGGGAGAGGUGAGUGGAACUCCGAGUGUAGAGGUGAAAUUCGUAGAUAUUCGGAAGAACACCAGUGGCGAAGGCGACUCACUGGCCCGUUACUGACGCUGAGGCGCGAAAGCGUGGGGAGCAAACAGGAUUAGAUA